UUUGCCAAAUGGAGUGCGAGGGAGAGCUUUGUAUGCGUCUCUGUGUGUGGAAUACAGCUCAUUCAAUGCUAUCUUAGUGCCAACCUCUGACUGAGGUGGUAUGUAAACAGCUAUGAAGAAUACAGAUGAGCACUCUCUCCGUAGGUAGUGUUGUCUACAGCUUAUCAUGAUAUACUCAACCUCAGGCGAGCAAUCGACUUCCUUAGAUAUAGUGCACCAGCUGUUAUUUACAAAAAUACAUAGUCCGCCGCCCCUUGUCUUACCAGACGCCACUGUUCUAACCUGCCGGUGCAUCGUAUAAUCAGCCAGCUGUAUGUUGAUAUUGUCGUCGUUCAGCCACGACUCCGUGAAGCAUAAGAUGUUACAGUUUUUAAUGUCCCGUUGGUAUUUUAAUCUUCCCCGUAACUCGUCGAUUUUAUUGUCCAAAGAAUGCAUGUUUGCUAUCCGAAUUGAGGGAAGUGGGGGUUUAUUCGAUUGCCUCCGAAUUCUCAGAAGGGAGCCCGCUCUCCGGCCUCUCUCUGCCUCCUCUUCACGCAGAUCACGGGGGUCUGGGCCUGUUCCUGAGGGAGCCACUAUCCUCCGCCUCGGGCUCGUCAGAGUCAUGAAAGAAGAAAAAGCAUUCUGCCAGUCCGUGGAGCAUCGCCAACACUCUGGUGUCCCCAGAGAGACCAGGGGACUUUAACCAGGCCAUGAUGGAGCUGGGGACUCAGGUGUGAAACCUCUAAAGGCCCUCUACCCCAGUGUCCCAUACAGACCCACUGGCACUCCUACCGGAGGGUCAUCAAUCGUAACGAGACACGUUCAUAGCAUUGACAUUGAACAGACUGUUGACUCUCUAGUGCAUGCCGAGUAGCUACUCUGUGCUGGUCAGCAUCAAACAAGGGGAGAACUCAACAAAACUUCAGGGUGGUUUGUAUCUUCUCUCGCAUCAACCAGACAGACAGUAUAUUGUGUGGGUUUGAAUGGCUCUCAAGAUGGAUGGAAUGCAUAGGCCACUACUACACCCUACCCUGCAGGAGGCUGCUGUCUCCACUGAAGUCAAGAUGCCACCAAGAUGUCCCCCAUAUAAUGCAAACCGGUACUGACUAUCCUGUGCACUGGAACAGAAAAAAACGCACUACAGAGAUCUAUUGCAGUAAACAAUUCUGCUUCCAGGUGAACUGAUGACAGCAUGGUAACUGGGUUGGGAAACACAGGAUAAACUGGGAUAACCACAUAAUUUACAGCUCUCAGGUCCUGAAUCAGGAGCCACUCAUCUCUCCAAGGUUUUGGAAAAAUGGGUGUGUUGCAAACACUUUUUGUGACAAACAGUUUACCCUGUGCCAGCAGUGAUUGAAUAAUCGUUCUAGUCCCUUCUGUUGCCUCUGUCUUCAUUGUGGUAUUGAGGUAACCUGGGGAGUUUCUUCUUGGGAUCAACAUUAAUUACCACUAGGCUGGCACUGCAUAUCAGUCCCCUUUCAUUGGAAUGCUCUGUCCAUAAGGUUUCUGGCACCUGAGACAGAAUAGACUGGGAGGCAGUGUCAGACCCCCAACUUUCCUACUUACACAUUGGUUCAAUACCUUAUCGUUUGGGAUUUCAAUGAGAACUCCAUGACCAGGGGUACAAUCAAUUGUAGCAUUAAGUUUAGUUAACAAGUCUCUACUUAGCAAGUUAAAUGUUUGAGUGGGUGAAUAUAGAAAAUCAUGUUCAACAUUCAUUGGUCCUAUUGAACAGGGCAUGGUUAAGGGUAGGUCAAAUCCAGUUUCUUUACCAAAAGUGGAUGUAGUAGCACCCGUAUCUACCAACAGGAAUGUAUUUUCCCUGUAGUUUUACCAUACUGUUUGGGCCAGAUGGGUCUACUUGUACUCGUGGGCAUUGCUGUAUUAAAGAAGCUGUUUCCCCUGAGGGGCAUCCCUA